UACGGGGGGGGCAAGCGUUGUUCGGAAUUACUGGGCGUAAAGGGUUUGUAGGUGGCUUGUUAAGUCAGACGUGAAAUCCCUCAGCUUAACUGGGGAACUGCGUCUGAUACUGGCGAGCUUGAGUGCAGGAGAGGAACGCGGAAUUCCAGGUGUAGCGGUGAAAUGCGUAGAUAUCUGGAGGAACACCGGUGGCGAAGGCGAAUCCCUGGAAAAUACCUGACACUGAGGCACGAAAGCUAGGGGAGCAAACAGG
rnacentral:rRNA from 1 species